rnacentral:rRNA from 1 species
GGGGAAUAUUGCACAAUGGGCGCAAGCCUGAUGCAGCAACGCCGCGUGAAGGAAGACGGUUUUCGGAUUGUAAACUUCUGUUCUUAGUGAAGAAUAAUGACGGUAGCUAAGGAGCAAGCCACGGCUAACUACGUGCCAGCAGCCGCGGUAAUACGUAGGUGGCAAGCGUUGUCCGGAAUUACUGGGUGUAAAGGGAGCGCAGGCGGGUGAUCAAGUCAGCUGUGAAAACUACGGGCUUAACCCGUAGACUGCAGUUGAAACUGUUCAUCUUGAGUGAAGUAGAGGUUGGCGGAAUUCCGAGUGUAGCGGUGAAAUGCGUAGAUAUUCGGAGGAACACCGGUGGCGAAGGCGGCCAACUGGGCUUUAACUGACGCUGAGGCACGAAAGCGUGGGUAGCAAACAGGAUUAGAUACCCUGGUAGUCCACGCUGUAAACGAUGAUUACUAGGUGUGGGGGGUCUGACCCCUUCCGUGCCGGAGUUAACACAAUAAGUAAUCCACCUGGGGAGUACGGCCGCAAGGUUGAAACUCAAAGGAAUUGACGGGGGCCCGCACAAGCAGUGGAGUAUGUGGUUUAAUUCGAAGCAACGCGAAGAACCUUACCAGGUCUUGACAUCCAACUAACGAAGUAGAGAUACAUUAGGUGCCCUUCGGGGAAAGUUGAGACAGGUGGUGCAUGGUUGUCGUCAGCUCGUGUCGUGAGAUGUUGGGUUAAGUCCCGCAACGAGCGCAACCCUUGCUAUUAGUUGCUACGCAAGAGCACUCUAAUAGGACUGCCGUUGACAAAACGGAGGAAGGUGGGGACGACGUCAAAUCAUCAUGCCCCUUAUGACCUGGGCUACACACGUACUACAAUGGAUGUUAACAGAGGGAAGCAAGACAGCGAUGUGGAGCAAACCCCUAAAAACAUUCUCAGUUCAGAUUGCAGGCUGCAACCCGCCUGCAUGAAGAUGGAAUUGCUAGUAAUCGCGGAUCAGCAUGCCGCGGUGAAUACGUUCCCG